UAGUUGAACCAGUAGAGAUAUAAAAAAAAAAGAGUCAGAACAUAAAAAGAUCAGUCCAUUUGAUAGAUAUUAUACUAAUAAUAAGAAAUAAUGGGGAAGAAGAGCGUGAUGAUAAUAAUGGGGAUGAUGGUGAUGAUGAUCAUAUCAUCCAAUGAGAUUGGGCACGUGAGAGGAAUGACGCGUGAAGAAUGCGAAGACGACUGCGAAGAACAUGAUUGUUGGAAAGGCGCAUUUUCUCCUCCCGACACUCAGUGCAUGUUGGAUUGCAUUGCCAGAAAAUGUCCCGGACUGCCCCCCGCCGUUGAAGGUCGGGCUAAGAUCAACAGCAUGGGGUAGAUACAUGUCGCCUGUCGGAUGACGGAAAAUAAAUAUCUUAAAUUGCAAAAUCUGGUUUUUUUGUUUUCUCUUUCCUUCUUCAAUUUCGUUGUGUUAUGAUCGAAACCAAUAUGAUGAAUAAAAAUACAUCUUUUGAUUUGAUGGA